rnacentral:rRNA from 1 species
UACGGGGGGAGCAAGCGUUGUUCGGAUUUACUGGGCGUAAAGGGCGCGUAGGCGGCCACCGCAAGUCGGUUGUGAAAUCUCCGGGCUUAACCCGGAAAGGUCAACUGAUACUGCGGGGCUAGAGUGCAGAAGGGGCAACUGGAAUUCUCGGUGUAGCGGUGAAAUGCGUAGAUAUCGAGAGGAACACCUGCGGCGAAGGCGGGUUGCUGGGCUGACACUGACGCUGAUGCGCGAAAGCCAGGGGAGCGAACGGG